rnacentral:misc_RNA from 1 species
AUAAUAGGCUGCUUUCCAUUCCUCUAAUAAACUGGUAAAGCAGUAUGCAGCAGUUUGUAGGCAUUGAAUUUAAAAGAUGAAGACAAAAAUUGCUAUAGCAAAAUAUAGAUCGGGUCAAAGUAGACAAAAAGGAUUAGAGUUUGCACAUUAUGAACACAUCAAAAGCAAUUUAAAAAAAAAAAAAAAAGCCAGUCAACUAAACAAUAUUGCAUGGCUUGCCAACAUAAAAAUACCCUAAAAAAUAAGGCUGCUUU